rnacentral:tRNA from 1 species
CAGAACGUAGCGAAGCUUGGUAUCGCGCUUGGCUGGGGGCCAAGAGAUCGUCGGUUCGAGUCCGACCGUUCUGA